GUAACAAGGUUUCCGUAGGUGAACCUGCGGAAGGAUCAUUACUGAGUGAGGGCCCUCUGGGUCCAACCUCCCACCCGUGUUUAUUGUACCUUGUUGCUUCGGUGCGCCCGCCUCACGGCCGCCGGGGGGCUUCUGCCCCCGGGUCCGCGCGCACCGGAGACACCAUUGAACUCUGUCUGAAGAUUGCAGUCUGAGCAUAAACUAAAUAAGUUAAAACUUUCAACAACGGAUCUCUUGGUUCCGGCAUCGAUGAAGAACGCAGCGAAAUGCGAUAACUAAUGUGAAUUGCAGAAUUCAGUGAAUCAUCGAGUCUUUGAACGCACAUUGCGCCCCCUGGUAUUCCGGGGGGCAUGCCUGUCCGAGCGUCAUUGCUGCCCUCAAGCACGGCUUGUGUGUUGGGCUCCGUCCCCCCGGGGACGGGCCCGAAAGGCAGCGGCGGCACCGAGUCCGGUCCUCGAGCGUAUGGGGCUUUGUCACCCGCUCUGUAGGCCCGGCCGGCGCCAGCCGACAACCAAUCAUCCUUUUCAGGUUGACCUCGGAUCAGGUAGGGAUACCCGCUGAACUUAAGCAUAUCAAUAA
rnacentral:misc_RNA from 1 species